UACAGAGGGUGCGAGCGUUGUCCGGAAUCACUGGGCGUAAAGGGCGCGUAGGCGGCCUGAUAAGUCGGGGGUGAAAUCCUGUGGCUUAACCACAGGGCUGCCUCCGAGACUGUCGGGCUCGAGCACAGUAGAGGCAGGUGGAAUUCCAGGUGUAGCGGUGAAAUGCGUAGAUAUCUGGAGGAGCACCGGUGGCGAAGGCGGCAUCCUGGACCGGCAUUGACGCUGAGGCGCGAAAGCGUGGGGAGCGAACAGG
rnacentral:rRNA from 1 species